CUGACUUUUCUUUUGGUUUAUAUGCAGAUGCCCUAUUCUAACGAUUUCACCACGAUGCAGCGAAGAAUAUGACACAAAAGCUGAUAUUUUCUCCUUUGCUUUGAUCGUUCAAGAGAUGAUAGAAGGACGAAUGCCAUUUGCUGAAAAGGAAGACAGUGAAGCUUCAGAAGCUUAUGCCAGCAAAGAGCGGCCACUGUUCAAAGCUCCAUCAAAUUGCUUUACCCUCAUGGACUUAAAACGGAGAUAAUGAUCCAUGGUACCGUGAAGAAGGAACACCAAGAUGACUUUAUAAGUUUGGAAGCAACUGCGUUGGCUGGAAAUAAUCUUCAUUAGUUGAUGGAUGCAUUGAGGAAAUUUUCUUUUGGGUAAA